rnacentral:rRNA from 1 species
GAUGAACGCUAGCGGCAGGCUUAAUACAUGCAAGUCGAGGGGCAGCACAGGGUAGCAAUACUUGGGUGGCGACCGGCAAACGGGUGCGGAACACGUACACAACCUUCCUGUAAGUGGGGGAUAGUCCAGAGAAAUUUGGAUUAAUACCCCGUAAUAUUAUGAUCUUGCAUCACAUGAUAAUUAUAGCUGAGGCGCUUAUAGAUGGUUGGGCGUCUGAUUAGGUAGUUGGUGGGGUAACGGCCCACCAAGCCAACGAUCAGUAGCUGAUGUGAGAGCAUGAUCAGCCACACGGGCACUGAGACACGGGCCCGACGCCUACGGGAGGCAGCAGUAAGGAAUAUUGGUCAAUGGACGCAAGUCUGAACCAGCCAUGCCGCGUGAAGGAUUAAGGUCCUCUGGAUUGUAAACUUCUUUUAUAGGGGGCGAAAAAGGGUCUUUCUAGAUCAACUGACGGUACCCUAUGAAUAAGCACCGGCUAACUCCGUGCCAGCCGCCGCAGUAACAC